GACAGAGGAUGCAAGCGUUAUCCGGAAUGAUUGGGCGUAAAGCGUCUGUAGGUGGCUUUUCAAGUCCGCCGUCAAAUCCCAGGGCUCAACCCUGGACAGGCGGUGGAAACUACCAAGCUGGAGUAUGGUAGGGGCAGAGGGAAUUUCUGGUGGAGCGGUGAAAUGCAUUGAGAUCGGAAGGAACACCCAAGGCGAAAGCACUCUGCUGGGCCGACACUGACACUGAGAGACGAAAGCUAGGGGAGCAAAUGGG
rnacentral:rRNA from 1 species